GGCUAGCAUUUAGCUCCUGUUGUGUAAAGCAAUGCACAAACACAUGCUGAAAGGCAAACCUCUUGCUUCUUACCCUGACUCAGAGCUCUUCAACAAAUAAGAUGGAUGAAUGGAAAGGGAAUGGAUGUUUUACAGCUGGUUUGAAGAUGAAAUGACUUGAUGAGGGUCACACAGUAAAAGUCAGAUGAGAAUCAAAGCUAGAGCAGGACAGCACCUACUAGAUAGCCUGGACUGGUAUAAAAAUCCCAAGUGUUAUUUCGUGUCUAUCAAACACAUUUCCUGGCAAAAGUUUUUGAUGUAGAACUACAGCUAUCUCCACCAACAAAGCUAAUGGAAAAAAACGUGAGCAUUUUAGGCCUUAUUUUAUGUGAUCAUUGUCAUUCAAAGACUGUCACAAACCAGUAAUUCGAUAAAUACUGAGUUUUCUGUUAUCACAUUAAGACCUGCUGAAUGCAUAAGGGACUAACACUGAAAAGCGGGCUGAGUAUAAUUCCUGGUUAUCUAUUGUCUGUAUCUCUCUUGAUUUCAGUAUAGCUACACCCAACUGAUACUGCAGCAAGACAGGUGUCUCUUCUUGCUUCCUGUGGUGUAAAGCAGGACUACUCAGAGUAAAACAACUGCCUGCAAUAUUCCUCAGUGCUGUUUAAAGUUUGAGUAUAAAUUUAUGAGCCUGAUUUGGUCUUAAUAUGAAACUAGGCUGGAGUAAUUCCACUGAUUUUAUUCACAGUUGGUGUAUACAUCUGUGAGUCAAACACUUGCAUGAAAACCUUGAGUUCUAGUUAUCCUGGUAAUUACCACGUACAACUGUUGGAUGAGUCAUCACCAGCGGUAAAAUCUUUAUGAAGCAGAGUAAAACAAAUACCCUGAAGUCAAAGUCCCAGCUACCAGAGGCCUCUAUGCAGGGGGGUGAUGAGAGAAGGACUCAGAGCUACAUCCAUUAACUGAACCUUACACCUCUGAGGGCACAGAGUAUUCAUCAUUCUAGGGCAUCUGCAGCCCCAAGUUAGGUGCUGAAGCUCUGUAAACCAGAGGAGAAAAAGGCAGGCAGGAAUAAGAACCACAGGAGCUAAACAGGGAACCAUAUAUUCUAGAAAUGCCUCUUUGCUCCAUUUUGCAUGUGGCUUACUUAACGGGUCCAAGGAGCACAUAUCUUCAAGUCUUGCGCAUAAUAUAAUCAGAAGAACAUCAGAAGCAAUCUCAGCAGGUUGAGGUGUGAUCUAAGUAUAUUUCAGCCACCAGAAAUUAAAUGGGCAUGCCUGUGCACAAUCAUGUAUUUAGGGAUCCUCAGACUUAUUAGCACA
rnacentral:lncRNA from 1 species